ACGAAGAUCCAUCCACCGGAAGCGGAAAAACCCAAGGCGACGAGGGAUCGAAGGAGCGGCGGCGACAGCCGUGGAAACGGCACGUCCUCUCGUCAAAGAGGACGGUCCAUCGCUUUGCUUCGCUUUCGGGGAGGAGCGUCGGUUAUCCUCUUGAUCUUCCCUGUGCGCCGACGAUGCGGUGCAAUGACCGCACGCGUCCGAUGCAUGGGAAAAGAACGAAAAGAGGUAUGACCCAACACGCGUUUCCUGGACCGACGGUCGGGAUGGCGAAUGCCACC
rnacentral:ribozyme from 14 species